rnacentral:rRNA from 1 species
AGUGAACGCUGGCGGUAGGCCUAACACAUGCAAGUCGAACGGCAGCACAGUAAGAGCUUGCUCUUACGGGUGGCGAGUGGCGGACGGGUGAGGAAUACAUCGGAAUCUACUUUUUCGUGGGGGAUAACGUAGGGAAACUUACGCUAAUACCGCAUACGACCUACGGGUGAAAGCAGGGGAUCUUCGGACCUUGCGCGAUUGAAUGAGCCGAUGUCGGAUUAGCUAGUUGGCGGGGUAAAGGCCCACCAAGGCGACGAUCCGUAGCUGGUGUGAGAGGAUGAUCAGCCACACUGGAACUGAGACACGGUCCAGACUCCUACGGGAGGCAGCAGUGGGGAAUAUUGGACAAUGGGCGCAAGCCUGAUCCAGCCAUACCGCGUGGGUGAAGAAGGCCUUCGGGUUAUAAAGCCCUUUUGUUGGGAAAGAAAAGCAGCAGGUUAAUACCCCGCUGUUCUGACGGUACCCAAAGAAUAAGCACCGGCUAACUUCGUG